rnacentral:rRNA from 1 species
UACGUAGGUGACCAGCGUUGUCCGGAUUUACUGGGCGUAAAGAGCGCGCAGGCGGUCGUUCAAGUCGAGUGUGAAAGCCCCCGGCUCAACUGGGGAGGGUCACUCGAUACUGAUCGACUCGAAGGCAGGAGAGGGAAGCGGAAUUCCCGGUGUAGUGGUGAAAUGCGUAGAUAUCGGGAGGAACACCAGUGGCGAAGGCGGCUUCCUGGCCUGUUCUUGACGCUGAGGCGCGAAAGCUAGGGAAGCAAACGGG